rnacentral:rRNA from 1 species
CAGUCGCCACGGUAAUACAGAGGGUGCGAGCGUUAAUCGGAUUUACUGGGCGUAAAGCGUGCGUAGGCGGCUUUUUAAGUCGGAUGUGAAAUCCCUGAGCUUAACUUAGGAAUUGCAUUCGAUACUGGGAAGCUAGAGUAUGGGAGAGGAUGGUAGAAUUCCAGGUGUAGCGGUGAAAUGCGUAGAGAUCUGGAGGAAUACCGAUGGCGAAGGCAGCCAUCUGGCCUAAUACUGACGCUGAGGUACGAAAGCAUGGGGAGCAAACAGGAUUAGAUACCCCUGUAGUCCAUGUCUCUUAUAC